GGGGAUGUACUUCAGUGGUAGAGUGCUUGCCUAGCAUGCAAGAGACUAUGGGUUCAAACUCCAGUCUCCA
rnacentral:tRNA from 1 species